UAGUCCACACCGUAAACGAUGAAUGCCAGACGUUCAGGGGGCUUGCCCUUUGGUGUCACACCUAACGGAUUAAAGCAUUCCGCCUGGGGAGUACGGGUCGCAAGAUUAAAACUCAAAGGAAUUGAACGGGGGCCCGCACGAAGCGGUGGAGCAUGUGGUUUAAUUCGAUUGAUACGCGAGGAACCUUACCAGGGCUUAAAUGUAGUCUGACAGCUUUAGAGAUAGAGUUUUCUUCGGACAGAUUACAAGGUGCUGCAUGGUUGUCGUCAGCUCGUGCCAUGAGGUGUCAGGUUAAGUCCCGCAACGAGCGCAACCCUUGUCCCUAGUUGCCAGCACGUAAUGGUGGGAACUCUAGGGAGACUGCCGGUGACAAACCGGAGGAAGGUGGGGAUGACGUCAAGUCAUCAUGGCCCUUACGGGUAGGGCUACGACACGUGCUACAAUGGUCGGUACAGAGGGUUGCGAAGCCGCGAGGUGGAGCUAACCUCAUAAAACCGAUACGUAGUCCGGAUUCGGAGUCUGCAACUCGA
rnacentral:rRNA from 1 species